GAGCGCGUGACAGUCCUGCACGACGCACGCGCCGCCGCGGUGCCACUGUGGAGUCCUAAUCGCCGGCUUGUGGUUCUAGUGUCACAUUUAUUCCGGUUUCCGGUGUUAUGCAGUGAGGUCAGUGAUUAAGGCCACGGCUGGAUCAUUAAUGGAUGGUAUCGUGGAUUUUGACCUUUCAAGGUUAAUUUGAUUCAUGGAAGACGUUGGACGCGAAUGCAAAUCCUAAAUGUAAAUGAAAAUUGAAAUCAAUGUAUGGUCACACUGAAACCGUGGCACGCUGACGCUGAACGACACUCGCGCCAAACGGAGAACGCGGGGAGUGAUUCCCGCCAAAACGGUCGCAGGCUGUGGCGCGAAGGCCCACGAUUGGUCGAGCAGCGGCGCGCGGUGUGCGCAAGGCCGCCGGUUUUCCCGCGAACAAUGCCAAAUGGUGCAUUUGUCAAGAUCAGCAAUCGUAGCGCGGUAGGCAGCCGCGUCAUGCGUCUCCGGUGGGUCAGCGGCUUCAGUGGUCGCGAGCAAAUCAUCUCGAAUGUUCCGCAAUUGUUCGUUCUCCGCCGUGCUCGCAGAUAGACGCUC